UACGAAGGGGGCUAGCGUUGUUCGGAUUUACUGGGCGUAAAGCGCACGUAGGCGGAUUGUUAAGUCAGGGGUGAAAUCCCGGAGCUCAACUCCGGAACUGCCUUUGAUACUGGCAAUCUUGAGGCUGGAAGAGGUUAGUGGAAUUCCCAGUGUAGAGGUGAAAUUCGUAGAUAUUCGCAAGAACACCAGUGGCGAAGGCGGCUGACUGGUCCGGUUCUGACGCUGAGGCGCGAAAGCUAGGGGAGCAAACGGGG
rnacentral:rRNA from 1 species